rnacentral:misc_RNA from 1 species
UUAAGUUCAGCGGGUAUUCCUACCUGAUCCGAGGUCAACCUUAGAAGUCGAGGCCCGGAGGCCUCGGGUUUUACGGCCGGGAGCCCCCCCGCGGACGUCCUAAGCGAGAAUGUUACUACUGCGCUCGGAGCCGCGGCGGGUCCGCCACUGCUUCUGAGGGCUUCCUCCCGCGGGGAGAGGAACGCCCCGACGCCAGGCAC